rnacentral:rRNA from 1 species
UGGUAGUCCCAGCCGUAAACGAUGGACACUAGAUGCUGGAAGAGUCAAUCCUUUCAGUGUCGUAGCUAACGCGUUAAGUGUCCCGCCUGGGGAGUACGCUCGCAAGGGUGAAACUCAAAGGAAUUGACGGGGGCCCGCACAAGCGGUGGAGCAUGUGCUUUAAUUCGAUGCAACGCGAAGAACCUUACCUGGGUUUGACAUGGGGGUGAACGUUCCCAGAGAUGGGAGCCUUUCCUUCGGGAACACCCCACACAGGUGCUGCAUGGUUGUCGUCAGCUCGUGUCGUGAGAUGUUGGGUUAAGUCCCGCAACGAGCGCAACCCCUGUCCUUAGUUGCCAGCGGAUAAUGCCGGGAACUCUAAGGAGACUGCCUGGUAUAACCAGGAGGAAGGUGGGGAUGACGUCAAAUCAUCAUGGCCCUUACGUCCAGGGCAAGACACGUGCUACAAUGGCCGGUACAACGGGAUGCGAACUCGCGAGAGCAAGCCAAUCCCUUAAAACCGGUCUUAGUUCGGAUUGGAGUCUGCAACUCGACUCCAUGAAGCUGGAAUCGCUAGUAAUCGCGGAUCAGCAUGCCGCGGUGAUACGUUCCCGGGCCUGUACACACCGCCCGUCAAGCCAUGAAAGACGGCAGUGCCCGAAGUCGCUC